GACGAACGCUGGCGGCGUGCUUAACACAUGCAAGUCGAACGCUGAAGCCCUUCGGGGUGGAUGAGUGGCGGACGGGUGAGUAACACGUGGGUAAUCUGCCCUGCACUCUGGGAUAAGCCUUGGAAACGGGGUCUAAUACCGGAUAGGACACAUCGCCGCAUGGUGUGUGUGCGGAAAGUUCCGGCGGUGCAGGUUGAGCCCGCGGCCUAUCAGCUUGUUGGUGGGGUGAUGGCCUACCAAGGCGACGACGGGUAGCCGGCCUGAGAGGGUGACCGGCCACACUGGGACUGAGACACGGCCCAGACUCCUACGGGAGGCAGCAGUGGGGAAUCUUGCGCAAUGGGCGAAAGCCUGACGCAGCAACGCCGCGUGGGGGAUGACGGCCUUCGGGUUGUAAACCUCUUUCGACCGGGACGAAGGAUUCGUUUGACGGUACCGGUAGAAGAAGCACCGGCUAACUACGUGCCAGCCGCCGCGGUAA
rnacentral:rRNA from 1 species